rnacentral:rRNA from 1 species
AUUGGACGCUGGCGGCAUGCCUUACACAUGCAAGUCGAACGGCAGCACGGGAGCAAUCCUGGUGGCGAGUGGCGAACGGGUGAGUAAAGUAUCGGAACGUGCCCAGUCGUGGGGGAUAACGUAGCGAAAGUUACGCUAAUACCGCAUACGAUCUAUGGAUGAAAGCGGGGGAUCGCAAGACCUCGCGCGAUCGGAGCGGCCGAUAUCAGAUUAGGUAGUUGGUGGGGUAAAGGCUCACCAAGCCGACGAUCUGUAGCUGGUCUGAGAGGACGACCAGCCACACUGGGGCUGAGACACGGCCCAGACUCCUACGGGAGGCAGCAGUGGGGAAUUUUGGACAAUGGGCGAAAGCCUGAUCCAGCCAUGCCGCGUGCAGGAUGAAGGCCUUCGGGUUGUAAACUGCUUUUGUACGGAACGAAAAGGUUUGGCCUAAUAAGCUGAGCUCAUGACGGUACCGUAAGAAUAAGCACCGGCUAACUACGUGCCAGCCGCCGCGGUAA